CUUGGUAGUAUAGUGGUGAGUAUCUCCGCCUGUCACGCGGAAGACCGGGGUUCAAUUCCCCGCCAGG
rnacentral:tRNA from 1 species